rnacentral:misc_RNA from 1 species
GUGAAUCAUCGAAUUUUUGAACGCAAAUUGCACUCUCUUCUGAGAGUAUGACUGUUUGAGGGUCAGUAUUAAUAAAAAUCGGUGUGUUGCUUCUUUGUGACGCUACGGAGUAUGGGUCAGCUUAAGAUCUUUUAGGUUGUAAUAGGCUUAAAAUUGACUUUUGUUGCGCAUUUUAGAUGAACAUAAAUUCUUUUUUUAUUAGUAUGUCUUAAUGCUUAGCAUCC